UUUUUUUACUCGAGUAAUUUUAUUAAGUUACACCCUCAAUUUCCUUGCAAGUGAUGGGAAGGUGCUAUCUUUAUUAUGUGUGGUGUGUGGAAAGACUACUAUUAAGGAUAUGGUCAAAGUACAUACUUACAUACUCCUAUCAUUCAUUUCCUACUUCUUAACUCACUCAUUCAUCUUUGAUUUGUGCUUCCUCUAACUCUUUCUUUGGGAGAUCUCUCUCUACAGCUUCCUUUGUUUCUUUGUUUGUUUACAAACAAUUAAUUCAA
rnacentral:lncRNA from 1 species